rnacentral:rRNA from 1 species
UGGGGAAUAUUGGACAAUGGGCGAAAGCCUGAUCCAGCCAUGCCGCGUGUGUGAAGAAGGCCUUUUGGCUGUAAAGCACUUUAAGUGGGGAGGAAAAGCUUAUGGUUAAUACCCAUAAGCCCUGACGUUACCCACAGAAUAAGCACCGGCUAACCCUGUGCCAGCAGCCGCGGUAAUACAGAGGGUGCAAGCGUUAAUCGGAAUUACUGGGCGUAAAGCGCGCGUAGGUGGUUAUUUAAGUCAGAUGUGAAAGCCCCGGGCUUAACCUGGGAACUGCAUCUGAUACUGGAUAACUAGAGUAGGUGAGAGGGGAGUAGAAUUCCAGGUGUAGCGGUGAAAUGCGUAGAGAUCUGGAGGAAUACCGAUGGCGAAGGCAGCUCCCUGGCAUCAUACUGACACUGAGGUGCGAAAGCGUGGGUAGCAAACAGGAUUAGAUACCCUGGUAGUCCACGCCGUAAACGAUGUCUACCAGUCGUUGGGUCUUUUAAAGACUUAGUGACGCAGUUAACGCAAUAAGUAGACCGCCUGGGGAGUACGGCCGCAAGGUUA